rnacentral:sRNA from 1 species
AGAUGUCUAUGGGUCAAGACGGUGACCACUUAUCAUUAGUCUUUUUGCGAGAUCACGUUCACAAUUGUGAAAGUGUGGUCUUAUU